rnacentral:rRNA from 1 species
UACGGAGGGGGCUAGCGUUGUUCGGAAUUACUGGGCGUAAAGGGCGCGUAGGCGGCGAUCCAAGUUAGGCGUGAAAGGCCUGGGCUCAACCCGGGAACUGCGCUUGAUACUGGAUUGCUUGAGUCCGGGAGAGGAUGGCGGAAUUCCCAGUGUAGAGGUGAAAUUCGUAGAUAUUGGGAAGAACACCGGUGGCGAAGGCGGCCAUCCGGACCGGAACUGACGCUGAGGCGCGAAAGCGUGGGGAGCAAACAGG